rnacentral:misc_RNA from 1 species
UUUCCGUAGGUGAACCUGCGGAAGGAUCAUUCAUAAUAAAGUGUUUUAUGGCACUUUUUAAAAAUCCAUAUCCACCUUGUGUGCAAUGUUAGAUCUCGUCAAUCUUGGCGAGGUUUUUACACAUCAACUCAUUCUUUAACUAAUUUGUCUGAAAAAUAUUAUGAAUACUUAAUUCAAAAUACAACUUUCAACAACGGAUCUCUUGGCUCUC